CCUACGGGAGGCAGCAGUGAGGAAUAUUGGUCAAUGGGCGCGAGCCUGAACCAGCCAAGCAGCGUGAAGGAGGAAUGCCCUACGGGUUGUAAACUUCUUUUAUAAAGGAAUAAAGUGUGGCACGCGUGCCUUUUUGUAUGUACUUUAUGAAUAAGGAUCGGCUAACUCCGUGCCAGCAGCCGCGGUAAUACGGAGGAUCCGAGCGUUAUCCGGAUUUAUUGGGUUUAAAGGGAGAGUAGAUGGGCUGUUAAGUCAGUUGUGAAAGUUUGGGGCUUAACCGUAAGAUUGCAGUUGGAACUGGCAGGCUUGAGUACAGGUGAGGUAGGCGGAAUUCGUGGUGUAGCGGUGAAAUGCUUAGAUAUCACGAAGAACUCCGAUUGCGAAGGCAGCUUGCUGAACUGCCACUGACGUUGAGGCUCGAAAGUGUGGGUAUCGAACAGGAUUAGAUACCCUUGUAGUC
rnacentral:rRNA from 1 species